rnacentral:tRNA from 1 species
GGGGUUGUGGCUCAGAGGUGGAGCUCUCACCUCGUAUGUGUGAGGCACUAAGUUCAAUCCUCAGCACCA